UGCCUAAAGGUUAAAUAUAUGACCUGGUACUGCCUAAAGGUUAAGAUAUAUGACCUGGUACUGGCUAAAAGUUAAAAUAUUACCUGGUACUGCCUAAAGGUUAAGAUAUAUGACCUGGUACUGCCUAAAGGUUAAGAUAUAUGACCUGGUACUGCCUAAAGGUUUAGAUAUAUGACCUGGUACUGCCUAAAGGUUAA